GACCGCGUAGCUCAGUUGGCAGAGCAUUGGACUAGUAUUCCAAACUAAGGUCGUAAGUUCGAUUUCCAGUUUCCCACCGUGGCC